ACAAUUCACCAGUGAAGACAUCUAGUCCUUGACUUUCCUUUGUGAGUAGUUUUUCAUUUGCUAAUUCAAUCUACUUAACUUGUUAUAGAGCCAGUCAGAAUUUAUGUUUCUGCUUGAAUCAUUUUUGGUAGAUUGUGUCUUACUAGGCAUCUGUUCAUUUAUUCUAGGUUAUCUAAUUUGUUGGCUUAUUUAUACUAUUCCUUUUAUUUCAGUGUAGGUUUUUAUGUGGACCUAAGUUUUCAAAUUAAUUGGGUAAAUACCAAGUAGGAUUGCAACUGCUGAGUCCUAUGGUUAAACUAUGUUUCACUUUGUAAGAAACUGCCGAACAGUGCUCUAAAGAGGCAGUACCAUUUUGCAUUCUAACCAACAAAGAAUGAGAGUUCCUUUGCUCAACAUUCUCAGUAGCAAUUAAUAUUAUCAGCUUUUUGGAUUUUAGCCAUUUCUAAUAGGUAUAUAAUGGCAUCUCACUGCUGUUUUAAUUUGCAACGUACUAAUGACAAAUGAGGUUGAGCAUCUCUUUAUAUGCUUUUUUCUGUGUGUCUUCUUCGGUAAGGUGUCUAUUCAGAUCUUUGUCCAUUUUUAAUUGGGUUGUUUGUUAUUUGUUUCUAAGAUUGAGUUGCCAGACUUUGAGAUUUCAUAAAACAGUGUGUGUGUGUGUGUGUGUGUGUAUAUACACACACACAUAUGGCAGGGUCUUACUGUGGUUGCUCAGGCUAGUGUGCAGUGGCUAUUCACAGGUGUAAUCAUUGCACACUAAUCCUUGAAUUCCUGGGCUCAAGCCAUCCUCUUACCUCAGCCUCCUCAGGACCUGGGACUA
rnacentral:lncRNA from 1 species